rnacentral:rRNA from 1 species
CCCGGCACAAGCGGUGGAGCAUGUGGUUUAAUUCGAAGCAACGCGAAGAACCUUACCAGGUCUUGACAUCCCCUGACAACCCGAGAGAUCGGGCGUUCCCCUUCGGGGGACAGGGUGACAGGUGGUGCAUGGUUGUCGUCAGCUCGUGUCGUGAGAUGUUGGGUUAAGUCCCGCAACGAGCGCAACCCUCGACCUUAGUUGCCAGCAUUCAGUUGGGCACUCUAAGGUGACUGCCGGCUAAAAGUCGGAGGAAGGUGGGGAUGACGUCAAAUCAUCAUGCCCCUUAUGACCUGGGCUACACACGUGCUACAAUGGGCGGUACAAAGGGUCGCGAACCCGCGAGGGGGAGCCAAUCCCAAAAAGCCGCUCUCAGUUCGGAUUGCAGGCUGCAACUCGCCUGCAUGAAGCCGGAAUCGCUAGUAAUCGCGGAUCAGCAUGCCGCGGUCGAAUACGUUCCCGGGCCUU